rnacentral:sRNA from 1 species
AUAUUUAUUUAUGCUUGAGUCACAAAUUAAGAUUCUUUUUAGCUGACGACGCAGCUUGUCGCCGAUAUGAGAGUCCUUGUGAAUGAGAGGGCACAAUUUAUGCCAAGUGCUUGGGGCGGGAUGCGCACACUCUAGAGCACACACUUCCGGCACGGCCACAUCAGGCUUGACUUGACUUGACUCCACAAACUUGGCUAGUCUCUUGAAGAGGAGCACCAACAGCAGCAGCUGGCAGCUGACUGCUAACUGGGCGUGGCUACGCCCUGAUGUCUCAGGCAUGCAGAAGAGAGCAUUGUUAACAAUUCAGGACACAAAGACGAGCGCCCACUGACAGAAGAGUAUGCAGCAAUAAUAUUAAUAAUAAUAAUAACAAUAAUCAGCUGCCUCUGCCGCAAUAUUACUUGCCACACGAGGGACACAUAAAGACGUUGCCGCUCCCACACUGGAGCUACGAGUCGCGACAUGCAGCAUUCUUUGGGUAAGUUUGUGCCGCAUGGGCAGAGGCAGAGGGUUGUCCUGUGAUUUGCUUUGAUUUGCCCAGGCACGCAUCAUUGACGUGCCGUGGGCUACACACACAAUUUACAUGCGUACAACGAGCCGCAGUCAGUCAUUAAUUUCAAUUUUGUCUGUUUGCCAAGAGCAGCAGCCGACACCACACCCGCAGCCAGGCCGGGACAUAACUGAAGGGUUUUCAGAGACAAGAAUUAUUUAUUUACCAGCGUUUUGGGGCAACAACUGAUGCUAUUCGUUUGUGGCGCUGCGAUUCCUUCAAAUGCUGGCCGUUUGCCUCCUGCUGCUCCUUUGAAUUUUGGACAGCUGCUUCGCCUCCAAAUCGCACUACUUCUCUUAAAUUUCUCAGGCUACUCUUUUUUUCAGCAUUCUCAAGCCAUUGCUGCGCUGCAUUGUGCCCCUUUUGCUUGUUAGCCUUAGCUGCUUUUCUUCGGCUCUUCUCAAGCCGACUCUCAAACCCUUCUAGUGGGUAAUAUGGCUUACUAUUGAAUGUGUUAUGCAGAACCCCCCACAGCAGUCGUACAUAUUCCCAAUUAAUUUUAAUUUAUAUACAAACUACAUACUCUUUUGGCUUUAAAAUGAUCGUCAUAUCGG